rnacentral:rRNA from 1 species
GAUGAACGCUGGCGGCGUGCCUAAUACAUGCAAGUCGAGCGAACGGACGAGAAGCUUGCUUCUCUGAUGUUAGCGGCGGACGGGUGAGUAACACGUGGAUAACCUACCUAUAAGACUGGGAUAACUUCGGGAAACCGGAGCUAAUACCGGAUAAUAUUUUGAACCGCAUGGUUCAAAAGUGAAAGACGGUCUUGCUGUCACUUAUAGAUGGAUCCGCGCUGCAUUAGCUAGUUGGUAAGGUAACGGCUUACCAAGGCAACGAUGCAUAGCCGACCUGAGAGGGUGAUCGGCCACCCUGGAACGGAGACACGGUCCAGACUCCUACGGGAGGCAGCAGUAGGGAAUCUUCCGCAAUGGGCGAAAGCCUGACGGAGCAACGCCGCGUGAGUGAUGAAGGUCUUGGGAUCGUAAAGCUCUGUUAUUAGGGAAGAACAUAUGUGGAAGUAACUGUGCACAUCGUGACGGUACCUAAUCAGAAAGCCCCGGCUAACUACGUG